AUUCUUACUUUAGCAUCAUAUAUACUAAAAUUGGAAUGAUACGGAGAAGAUUUGCAUGACCUCUGCACAAAGAUGACACACAAAUUUGUGAAGUGUUCCAUAUUUUU